rnacentral:rRNA from 1 species
UACAGGGGGUGCAAACGUUGCUCGGAAUCAUUGGGCGUAAAGCGCACGUAGGCGGUUCGUUAUGUCGGAUGUGAAAGCCCUUGGCUUAACCGAGGAAGUGCAUCCGAAACUGGCGAGCUAGAGUACGAAAGAGGAUCGCGGAAUUCCCGGUGUAGAGGUGAAAUUCGUAGAUAUCGUAAGGAAGACCAGUGGCGAAGGCGAAUCUCUGGACAGUUACUGACACUGAGGCACGAAGGCCAGGGGAGCAAACGGG